rnacentral:rRNA from 1 species
GAUGAACGCUAGCGGCAGGCCUAAUACAUGCAAGUCGAGCGGGGAAAAGUAGCUUGCUACUUAACCUAGCGGCGGACGGGUGAGUAAUGCUUAGGAAUCUGCCUAUUAGUGGGGGACAACAUCUCGAAAGGGAUGCUAAUACCGCAUACGUCCUACGGGAGAAAGCAGGGGACCUUCGGGCCUUGCGCUAAUAGAUGAGCCUAAGUCGGAUUAGCUAGUUGGUGGGGUAAAGGCCUACCAAGGCGACGAUCUGUAGCGGGUCUGAGAGGAUGAUCCGCCACACUGGGGAUGAGACACGGCCCAGACUCCUACGGGAGGCAGCAGUGGGGAAUAUUGGACAAUGGGGGGAACCCUGAUCCAGCCAUGCCGCGUGUGUGAAGAAGGCCUUUUGGUUGUAAAGCACUUUAAGCGAGGAGGAGGCUACCGAGAUUAAUACUCUUGGAUAGUGGACGUUACUCGCAGAAUAAGCACCGGCUAACUCUGUGCCAGCCGCCGCGGUAACAC